rnacentral:rRNA from 1 species
UCCAGACUCCUACGGGAGGCAGCAGUGGGGGAUAUUGCACAAUGGGGGGAACCCUGAUGCAGCGACGCCGCGUGGGUGAAGGAGCGUUUCGGCGCGUAAAGCCCUAUCGGCAGGGAAGAAGGAGGACGGGACCUGACUAAGAAGCCCCGGCUAACUACGUGCCAGCAGCCGCGGUAAUACGUAGGGGGCGAGCGUUAUCCGGAUUUACUGGGUGUAAAGGGAGCGUAGACGGCCAUGCAAGCUCGGUGUGAAAGGUGCGGGCACAACCCGCAGACUGCACUGAGAACUGUAUGGCUGGAGUGCCGGAGGGGCAGGCGGAAUUCCUGGUGUAGCGGUGAAAUGCGUAGAUAUCAGGAGGAACACCGGUGGCGAAGGCGGCCUGCUGGACGGCGACUGACGUUGAGGCUCGAAAGCGUGGGGAGCGAACAGGAUUAGAUACCCCAGUACA